UUAGGUAAGUUAUUGUACAUGAUGUACAUGUUUGCACUCUAAAGCUAAGCAGGGCUGCACCCAAUCAGUACCUGGAUGGGAGACCACAUGGGAAAGUUAGGUUGCUGCCAGAA
rnacentral:rRNA from 1 species